UAACUCAAGAAUAACAUGUUUAUUUAGAAAUGAGUGUACAAAUUUAUUUCCAAAAUCAUGAAGUAAAUGCUAGACAUGGUAAAGUUAAAUCUUCAACUUUGCAAAACUCAUUUCUUUCACAAUACAAUCUUCAGUCAAAAGAUUUUGCAUUUUAUCAAAAUAAUAUAAAUGUGAAACAAAUAAAUUAUACAAAUAUAAUGAAUCAAAGAGAAAGAAAAACUAUGCAGUGUCACAUCUUGACAGCAAAUUACACUGGUACAUUACAUUUAACACAAAAUGUAUAUUUCACUUAGCACCUACAUUGUACAUAACUGUCAUUAAGUCCAGUAAAGUAAUUAAAUAGGUUAGAAAAGAUAAACAAAAAUACUACAUUCAAGAUGUUAAAUAAAGUUUAGGGUCAGAAGCCUAACAACUUAUAAUAGUGUUAACAAAUAUGCUGAAUGGCAGAAGAAAAUCCCAAUAAGUACGGCACUGAAAGAAAAGGUCAAGGGUCAUUGUGAUUUUUUUUAGAAAGGUCUUUAUAAAAGAAAGAGAGAGGAAAUCAUUGUUGUUGUUGAUAAUUGAUCUUGU